rnacentral:rRNA from 1 species
UACGUAGGUGGCAAGCGUUAUCCAGAAUUAUUGGGCGUAAAGAGCGCGCAGGUGGUUGAUUAAGUCUGAUGUGAAAGCCAACGGCUUAACCGUGGAGGGUCAUUGGAAACUGGUCGACUUGAGUGCAGAAGAGGGAAGUGGAAUUCCAUGUGUAGCGGUGAAAUGCGUAGAGAUAUGGAGGAGCACCAGCGGCGAAGGCGGCGCUCUGGGCUGAGAUUGACGCUGAGGAGCGAAAGUGUGGGUAGCAAACA